rnacentral:lncRNA from 1 species
AAAAUUGUAUGAAAUUUCUUGCUAACAGUCUCACUAUAUAACCCUCACUCUUCCGCAAAUCCCCGCGCCCUUCAGGUCGAUGUGCCCUUCCUAUCCAAAAAAUUGAAAAAAUAAAAUAAAAUUUGCUUCGCUCUAGUUACAGUCGUAUCCCUCGCACUUCCGCCACUGCCGCCGUCGCAGCUCCGGCGGUUUUAUCCAAAACCCAAAAAAAUCGUUAUCAAUAGUUAGGGUAUACAUUUUGGUAACGCAUUUCCGAGAGUUAAUUCAUAUAUAAAUUUGUUGUUGAAUCUUGUAGAAGAAACUUGAUACCAAUCAAUGGCGCAAAUUCACGAGACUGACGCGGUGGCUCAGGAGGCGAAUCAGCCGAUGCCCNN